UCCCCGAUAGUCUAGUGGUGAGGAUAUCUGCUUGUCAUUGAAUUUCAACGAUUCGCAGGGGACCGGGGUUCAAUUCCCCGUCGAGGAG
rnacentral:tRNA from 1 species